CUUGCGGCCACUUCGACGACUCGAGGCCGUUUCUGUCCCCGGCCUCCAAAAACUGUAGUACGUAGCGUACAGUAAACAAGGAGUCAUUCAUUUGAUACCUUAGAUAACCAUUAAGGUAAUUAACAAUUAUGUUAAUGUCAUGAUGAUUGCAUUCAAAGUAAAGGCUCUAAUUUGCCAGGUGAAGAUCAAUCAUUUAAGAAGACAUCUACUGCAUGCAACAACGAAUCACAGAUGCAGACACACAAAGAGUAAUUCAAAUAAACUACUCAGUUACAGGCCACCUGAUUGGACAAGCCACCUUAAAAUGAUUCCAUUAGUGAAAGUUAAGCUUUUUCAGCCAUUUACACCUAUUCAUAAAUGGAGUCUUCCAAAUAUACCAGAUGAUAUUGAUAUUUAUAUCAAGCGAGAUGACAUGACUGGAUCUGUUUUAUCAGGUAACAAGGUUAGAUGUCUAAUACUGUAU